GGAUUGAGGUGAUACACCCUUGAGGUGGGGACCUUCCACGGACUCUGCGCAUAACGGGCACUUUAGUGCACCGGGUUGCCUUUUUGAUGAUUCACAGAGUUUAGGAUUGAGGUGUAGUUAUUGUUGUGAAACGUAAGUUAUCUCAAACGAUUUAGAAUAUCUCAAAAUUUUGGGAGAUAUAUAGCUUACACUUAAGCAGAGGGUCCUUCGGAAACAGCCUCUAUACCUCCACUAGGUAGGAGUAAAGUCUGCGUAUACUCUACCCUCUCCAGACUUCACUUGUGAGAUUCACUCGGUAUGUCGUUGUUGUUGAUCAAGCUAUUGUGAAGUUAAAAAGUUUUUUAUGGCAUAAUGCUUAUUUUAGAGAGUUGAAGUGUUCGACUAAGCUUUUAUAAGAAAAAGUAAAUGCCUUUGAGUAGUAGCAGAAGUUGUUUUUCUGAAUCUGAAUCUUUGUUUUCGUAGAAGUAAUUUUAUGUCUUUGACCAAACACAAAUUGCUGCUCUAAAAUUAACUGAAGUCUUUUUCAAUCUGAUUAGUCGAGGUGCACGCAAACUGAUCCGAACACCACGGUUAUUAACCCGUGGUGUUCAGAAAUUAACCCGAUGAAGCAAGUUCCGGCAAUGAUGCAUGAAGGAUUUAAGCUUUUCGAGAGUCAUGCGAUUCUUAGAUAUCUGACUUAUGCAUUUCCAAGAGUUGCAGAUCAUUGGUAUCCAACUGCUUUAUACAGAAGAGCCGAAGUCGACUCCGUGUUGGAUUGGCAUCACUCUUAACUUACGCCGCGGUGC